rnacentral:misc_RNA from 1 species
CUCUCAUCAGAGCUAGCAGAGGCCUCAUUUCCAGCAGGAGAAGUUUCACCACCUUGUACCUCAUCUUCGCUGAACAUGCUGUCUCUGCCAGAUUCAGAGGAUGAGCCAAUCUCCUCAUCACUGAAAACCUCAGCCCUAUGCCGCCUCCUCACAUCCUUUAUGCCUCUUCCUUGAAGAGCCAAUCGCCUGCGCUUUCUUGCCUUCCUCUUGCCUUUGGGAAACUCUUCCUGUUUUGAUUCAAAAGUCUUGUUCCUGACAUCUUUUGCAGCUCUAUCCAUGCAAUCUUCAUUAUCCUCAGAUUCAGUAAAUUGGGAAUCAACAUCAAGCUUGCGUCUCUUCCUACUUGUACUCGUCUUGG